UACGGAGGGUGCAAGCGUUAUCCGGAUUCACUGGGUUUAAAGGGUCCGUAGGCGGUUUAAUAAGUCCGUGGUGAAAGCCCAUCGCUCAACGGUGGGACGGCCAUUGAUACUGUUAAACUUGAAUUAUUAGGAAGUAACUAGAAUAUGUAGUGUAGCGGUGAAAUGCUUAGAGAUUACAUGGAAUACCAAUUGCGAAGGCAGGUUACUACUAAUGGAUUGACGCUGAUGGACGAAAGCGUGGGUAGCGAACAGG
rnacentral:rRNA from 1 species